GGAGGAGCUGUGUGCUGCCAGACGCAUUGCUUCAGGAGAAAAUCCUGCGCUUGCCGACAACCAGUGAAUCAAAGAACUCGAUAUUAAACGCGGCUGCUGCUGCAGUGCAGACAGACGUUGAUGAGAACAGAGGAGGAAAUACGAGUGACUCAUCCACCGCAGGGAGACGAGCAUUUGCUGUAGCUGCAGGGGGUCCGGCUUCAUCUGACAAAACGCUGGAAGACCGAACGGAUAAAAGAUAUCACUAAAUCUGGUGGAUUUCUUCAAGCAAACGCCAAAAGUGAGAGAGGUUGAUGUAUUCGACGCUGCUGCUACUUAUAAACGCACUUAACUUUAUACAGAAAGCGGUGAUUCAAAAAACAGAAAAAUUACGAUUUUGGAGGAACUUUACCAAAAUGAAAAAAAAUCGACGACAAAUCCCAAAGCACCUCACGACCUUUACGAUCGAAGGGCCAUUUCUGCUUUCAGUCCAGGCAAAAUAAAGUCAUUUAGAGACACCAAUGUAACGUAAUCUUUGACAACUUAUAACUUCAUAUAGACAGAAAGAGCAACAGAAAGAAAUAUGUUUAGGCUUUCAAGUACAGAACAACACGCAUUUUGCUUAAAGGGGACAUUUUCAUCUGUUGUAUGUGAAUUAUGAAAAAUGUACUUUUAGUGUCGUUCUGAAUAACAGAAAAGCUGAAAAACUGCUAAAAACUUUAAUUUAUUAAAUUGACAUUCAUUCAAUAAUUUAGAUUCUGUGUUACAUUGAGGGUCUGCAUCAGAUUAAAAAUACCUAGUAAAACUAAUAUUAACCCUAAUAAUAAAUUAUAUGCUACUCAUUCUAAUCUGAAACGACUUGUUUUUAUUGACUGCCAGCAAAAAAAUCCUCAUAAAAGAAAAUUGACAACAUCAGUGUG